rnacentral:sRNA from 1 species
UGCUAGAAAGGGUGCUGCCUUUGUUCC